UUUUAAGAAUGAACAGAGAAAAGUGGUUUCUUGAGAUGGAAUCUACUCCUAAUGAAGAUGCUGAGAA
rnacentral:pre_miRNA from 1 species